rnacentral:rRNA from 1 species
GACGAACGCUGGCGGCGUGCUUAACACAUGCAAGUCGAACGGAAAGGCCCUGCUUUUGUGGGGUGCUCGAGUGGCGAACGGGUGAGUAACACGUGAGUAACCUGCCCUUGACUUUGGGAUAACUUCAGGAAACUGGGGCUAAUACCGGAUAGGAGCUCCUGCUGCAUGGUGGGGGUUGGAAAGUUUCGGCGGUUGGGGAUGUACUCGCGGCUUAUCAGCUUGUUGGUGGGGUAGUGGCUUACCAAGGCUUUGACGGGUAGCCGGCCUGAGAGGGUGACCGGCCACAUUGGGACUGAGAUACGGCCCAGACUCCUACGGGAGGCAGCAGUGGGGAGUAUUGCACAGUGGGCGGAAGCCUGAUGCAGCAACGCCGCGUGCGGGAUGACGGCCUUCGGGUUGUAAACCGCUUUCGCCUGUGACGAAGCGUGAGUGACGGUAAUGGGUAAAGAAGCACCGGCUAACUACGUG